UACGGGGGGGGUAAGCGUUGUUCGGAAUUACUGGGCGUAAAGGGCGCGUAGGCGGCCUGACAAGUGGAUGGUGAAAUCCCUCGGCUUAACCGAGGAACUGCCAUCCAGACUGUUUGGCUUGAGACCGGGAGAGGUGAGUGGAAUUCCCAGUGUAGCGGUGAAAUGCGUAGAUAUUGGGAGGAACACCAGUGGCGAAGGCGGCUCACUGGACCGGUACUGACGCUGAUGCGCGAAAGCGUGGGGAGCAAACGGG
rnacentral:rRNA from 1 species